rnacentral:rRNA from 1 species
AGAGUUUGAUCCUGGCUCAGAUUGAACGCUGGCGGCAGGCCUAACACAUGCAAGUCGAGCGGUAACAUUUCUAGCUUGCUAGAAGAUGACGAGCGGCGGACGGGUGAGUAACGCGUAGAAAUCUACCUAGUAGUGGGGGAUAGCCCAGAGAAAUUUGGAUUAAUACCGCAUACGCCCUACGGGGGAAAGCAGGGGAUCUUCGGACCUUGUGCUAUUAGAUGAGUCUGCGUCGGAUUAGCUUGUUGGUGAGGUAAUGGCUCACCAAGGCGACGAUCCGUAGCUGGUCUGAGAGGAUGACCAGCCACACUGGAACUGAGACACGGUCCAGACUCCUACGGGAGGCAGCAGUGGGGAAUAUUGCACAAUGGGCGCAAGCCUGAUGCAGCCAUGCCGCGUGUGUGAAGAAGGCCUUCGGGUUGUAAAGCACUUUCAGCAGUGAGGAAAGGGGUGUCGUUAAUAGCGGCAUCCUGUGACGUUAACUGCAGAAGAAGACCGCUAACU